CAAAUAAGCCCUUUCCUCUCCAACUUGCUCUUUGGUCAUUGCUUUUUGGCACAGCAGUAGAAACCCUAACUAAGGCAAAUUGGUACCAGUGCAGUGGGGGUAUUUCUGUGACAGACGUGACCAUGCUUUUGGGAGGAUUGUGAAAGGACUUUGGAACUUUGGGCUAGAAGAGACAUUGAGUGUUAAGAGCUUUGUGGGAUGUUCUGUGGGAGCUUGGAAGAUAAGAAUGUUGACAGCAGUGCAGAGGAUGGAGGCCUGACUUGCCCUUUCAAGGACAUUUGUUAUUCUGAAUUAAGAUUCUGUAGUUCUGGUAGCUGGGGCUGAGGAAUCAGCUGAGAUUAAUAAGAUACCAGAACUACUAAAGCAGACUUUGCUUUGCUGGGAAACUUGAUGCUGGUUGGCAGAGCUAAGAAAUUAAUGGUGACAAAGAAGAGACCAGUAUCAUUGAGGUGAACUCUUCUUGGAAGUGUUUCCUGAGAGCACAGAGAAUCUGUUACAGAGGUGAUCACGGUUGUAUCUUGUGUUGGCAGCAGGACUUGGUAAUGUGUAAGCAUAACCCAGGUGGUACUGAUUUUGAAGGAAUGAAGAGGUCAUGGAGAACGGCUGCGGCUUGGCACUCUGAGAGGCCAGGAGAAGCCAGGUGAAGGUGCAGCUUCAGUAGCAGUUGAAAGCCCAGAACUGAAGUGAUCAUGCAAAGAAGCUGGGCCUUGUCACCAAGAAGAGAAACUGAGAGGCUAUUGGUGACAGUGCAGCCCAGAUGCAACAAGCAUUUUGGAGAUGCCACUAUGACGGGACGAUCACCAAGAAUAGUAGCCGCAGUGGAGUUGAGCCAGUUGGAGACUAGAAGACUAGCUGUGUGUACCGCAGAGGGCAGAGCUGGAGAAAUGACCCAUUUCCUUCGGAGGGGUCCAGAAGACAGACAGCUAUUUUCCUCAAUGGUGGCUCACUGACUGCUUCCUUGGCACCUAUUGGACAAUACAGUAGAUGUGAAGGCCCUCCUGCGGAUCUCUCACUAUCGUGUCCUGGCUGAAUGCUGGACCUGCAGCUCCAUUGCCUGCGACUUGAUGACUGCUCAGCAUCUCAGUAGAGAAGAGAACUAUUUCCUGUUUGUUCCUGCUUUAAUCCGGAUUCUGCCCAGCUAUGUCACUUCCUGCCUGUC